CCUACGGGGGGCAGCAGUGGGGAAUAUUGCACAAUGGGGGAAACCCUGAUGCAGCGACGCCGCGUGAGUGAAGAAGUAUUUCGGAAUGUAAAGCUCUGUCAGCAGGGAAGAAAAUGACGGUACCUGACCAAGAAGCACCGGAUAACUACGUGCCAGCAGCCGAGGUAAUACGUAGGGGGCAAGCGUUAUCCGGAUUUACUGGGUGGAAAGGGAGCGUAGACGGCAGGGCAAGUCUGGAGUGAAAGGCGGGGGCUCAACCCCCGGACUGCUCUGGAAACUGGCAGGCUGGAGUGCAGGAGAGGUAAGUGGAAUUCCUAGUGUAGCGGUGAAAUGCGUAGAUAUUAGGAGGAACACCAGUGGCGAAGGCGGCUUACUGGACUGUAACUGACGUUGAGGCUCGAAAGCGUGGGGAGCAAACAGGAUUAGAUACCCCGGUAGUC
rnacentral:rRNA from 1 species